UCGGGCCGCUCCCCCCCGCUCUGGGACCCCGCCGCGCCGGGAGCGCUCCGGCUCCGCGCAGCCCGCGGUGGCCCCUUCUUUUCCUUCCCUUCCCCCUCGCGGGACUCGCCGUCCGCCCGUCCCCGGGGGAGCGGGGCUGAGCCCCCGCCGCGGGGCGGUUGCGGGCGGGACCCGUCCUGCCUGAAGGGCAGCGGGUCCCGGCGGGGGACGGGGGCGGCUCCGUGAGGGGAAGGGCGGCCAGACCCGGCUCGCCCGCCCGGUGCCUGCACUGGGAGUACCGGAGGGGCCGGGCAGCAGGAGCCAACUCCUGCUCCAUGCCCUGACCUCGGGGCCGGGCCCCCGCUGCCCUGACGAGUGCCUCGGCCGCCACCUUCACGAAUUGCCUUCCCGCCCGGGGUCAGGUCACUGGCCCGCAGCGCUGCCGUAGUGCUGUUCCCAGAAACGUUCCCACAAAUCCCUCAGUGACCUGUCGACUCCACCAAGCACGAGCUGUGGUUCUGCAAAACUCCUAAGGUGGUGAACAGUGGCAUUUCCCAAAAGGUGGCAUUUCCCAAAAGCAGCAGUUCUGCCCCGAGGUUCCCCACUGGGGCCUGUGGAAGCGCUGGGACGGCAGGCUGGACAUGCCAAGGAUGAGCUGUCACCGUCAUUGCUGACCCCCUUUCACUCAGGGACAGUUCCUCAGCAUUGGUGGAUGGAGGAUUUGGGGGCCACCAACAGCCUGAGAGAGGACGGGGCAAGGAGCGAUGGGUAAAGACAAAAGUUGGUUCGGCCACACGCCUUGCAGGGCAGACGUUUUUUCACCGUGCUUUCCCAGUUUCUCAGUGGCGACUAAGCCAAGCUAACGGCUCCCACCAGUGAGGAGCUAACCCCAGGCAAGGCACAGCCCAGACAGGGCUGUACCUGAGAGCGUGAUGAGCGGGGUUGCAGGGUGAGUGUGGAGACAGUCUGAGCAAAGUUGACCUAUGGCUGAAUACAAAGGAAAAAAUAAAGAAAAUUGUUACUAAAAAGCAAACCAAUAUAAGCGGCUUAAGGCGCAGGAUAGGCACUUACCAUGGCAGGAGGCAACACAACGAUGGUUUGUGCAUUACAGCUUUAGUAAUCUGGACUCAUGCACGAGCCACAGAGGGUUUUUCCUGCCCACCGAUGCCCAUUUCAACAGUGAAACCAUGCUGACAGACUCACCUCCCGUGUUUAAUAGAUGCAUGUAAUCCACUUACUCUAUCCAGCCCCCUCAUCCCCACACAGCUAGUUUAACCCAUGCUGGCACCUCCACCAACUACUUUAAUUUCUAAACAGACUUCCAAUGACUUUUUUCUAAGCCACACAAGUUCCUUGAACAAUACAGCAAGACGCAGACAUACUCCAAGGGCAGAGUUAAGGUUGCACAAUUAUCACAUGUAGGAAGUGUCAUUUUCCCAUUGCAUCUGCUGUUUUCCAAACAUUUUUUGCUCUUUUAGAUUAUAGCAGUAACGUUUGCUUUGGGAAUCUGUGUGGGAACAGGAGCUCAGCAGUGCUUGUGGGGUCUGGUAAGCGCAGAGACCUGGUAUGCAGUUGCUGCCAAAACUUCAUGGCAAUGGUGCCUACAGGGACAAGAAUACACUGUGUUUGGGGACAAGAUCAGUGGAGAACCUGAGAAGAAGAAGAGAAAGGCAGAAAGCACUGAAAUUUUGACUCAGGAGAUGCUCCUGGUCCAUCUCCUGUUUUCUGCCACAGGUGCUUCUCUUACCUCCACAUUGUUGUGUUAAGCAGAGCAACAGCCACCAUAGGCACAGAGUAAAAUAUUGUGGAAACACCAAGGAGCCGUGGCCCAUUUUUAGAAAGCAAUUUAUCUCCUCAAAAAAGUUUCAGCGUUGCUGUUUUCAUAGCAAAAGUUGUUUUCUUUCCAAAAACCUACUAUAUCCUUCAUUAUCAAUUUCCACGGGAAACCUUCCUUCCUCAGCAAAUGACGCUUUCAAAGUCACAUGUUAAAAACUUGGCAACCCAAGCAUAGCGUGAUUUCAUUCAAUACGUACACCUAUGGGGAGGUGAGCAUUCCCAGUAUUAUAAACACCCUUGAAGCCACAGUUUGGUGUCUCUUCCUUCAUGGAGGGCUCCUGCAGGAGUGUUGUGGCCACUGGUGGGCUGAUCCAGCCAAAGCUUUUGGGAUGCUGCAUCGUGCAGGCAGCACUUCCCUGCUGACGCCUCCAGACACCAACCCACCAAGACAGGAACCACUGGCAGCAGUCAGGGCUGAAAAGACAGUCAAACUAAAUGACAAGUGCCUGGCUGGGGUAUUUCUUUCAUACAGUGAGUUGUCCCGCUGCCCUCAAAAUUCACAGGCAGGACAUCCCACUGAGCAUUUGGGGAUUUUUAAUGGAGUUUGGGCUCUCAUGUCCUCACAAGGCAGCCUUGAGCAAGUUAUUUAGCACUUCUCCUUAACUCCAGCAAGCUGGACUGAAAAAGAAUAAAUUUCUAAAUUUCUAGGCUCACACAGGAAUCUACGGCACAAGCUUUUAAACCAAACUUGUUCCAGCUAAAUAUUUUGAACUCCACAGUGAUGUUCAGCUGGUGGUAAAUCCACCUGAAGGAAUUCUACCCUUGCAUCCAGAAGAUGCCACUUUCUCAUUUAUGCCAAAUGUGUGCUUAUUUGAGAGCACUCUCAAGAGGAUCCUGUUAACCCACUUCUUUCCACCUCUCCCCUUCCCUCACCAUGUGUAUUUUUAAUGACAAAAACCUUGUAAAGAGACACUGGUUGCAGAUGCUUCCAGUGCAUGACAGGCAGGGCAGGCAGGCUCAGGGGGCUGGGAGAUAGGGCACAAACCUCUUGGGCAAAUCUGGGUGACACAGCCUGUGCUGGGAGCUCUGGAGCAAAUGAUUCCAGUACACCCUUUUCAUGUCAGCUAUGGAGAUAUUGGGAGGAGAUAGAUGGAGCAUCGUUACCCCUCUGCACCAGCUCGACAUCCCCCUCACCCCAACAGCAUCACAGCUACUCCUGCUUCCUUGUUUCAGCCCUGAAAACAGACAACAGUCCAAACUGACAGUCCAUCAGUCCGUAACCUCCACAGAGCAGCUGGCCAGGGAUGCUCAGAGAUGCACUUCUGAGCUUAGCACCCUGUUAGGAGCCUCUUCAGAGUGGUGAGACCUCCAAAACCUGGAGUGCCAAGAGCGCAGGGGUAAUUCCCCACACCUGGACCAUCGAUAUAAAAGGAUUUUAAAAUAAACUGGGGUGCUACACCCAGCCAAAGUCAGUAUUUGUGCAUAGGGUUCAAUGCCAAAUAUAAAUAUUAACUUGAGCUUCUCAGCCCCCUUGGUCACUGUGGUAAACACACAUUUUUGUAAUUUUGCAUCAGAUGUGCGUAACUUCUCAGAAGUGACUGCUGCCCUGAACAGCCCAAAGUCUAACCACUAGGAAAUUACUUUUCUGUGGAUUUAAUAAGGAAUUUCUUACAUAGGAGUUGGAAUCAGGCUCAGGACACAGAUCCCUCUAUUAGUUUAGCUGGAGCUAAAAGGAUCAGAAGUGAUGCUGCUGCUCUGUGGGUCAGGGAAGUUGAGUAUCCACCACACAAUUAGCACCUUUAAGUAGAAGUGGGUAGAAAGGGAAAUUAGCAAUUGAGGGUAGAAAUGGUGAACCAGCUACACAGGAGCACCUUAACAGCCAGAAUUCAUUCUGCCCAUGUCCUCCUGAAGAGGAUUAAAUGUGUUUAGCCUCCCCAGGUUUCCAGGAUGAGGAGAAGCUAUACAGGGGUGGAAGAAAAAGAGGCUGUGUGAAAGCCGUCAGACUUCACACAAAGCAGCAUAAUGUUUGCCAUACAUACGAGCAUCCUUGGCAAGGAAGGCAGGAGCCUGUGCUCAGAAGCCUGGAAGUCUUCACCACAAAAUAAAAUACCAAACCAGAAAGCCCAGGGGCACCGGUGGCCAACAAACUGCACCCUCUCUUGCUUUCAAAGCACAGCAUUAACUGCCGUGGGCUUCGGAUGCCAAUGUCAGAGAGAAGUCAAGAGGAAACUACUCCUGGAAGUCUCACUUAGCACUUGACAACAUCUUUGAAUAUGUGGCCCAGGCUGAGUUCAUAAGCUUUUUGGGGAAAGUGUUGUGCUGGGGAUUGUGUAAACACAGAGCUGGCUGAUGGAUGGCCCUGGUGCACCACGGAGAUUUAUGCACGCUCCAGAAAAACGUACUGAAUUAACAAGCAUCUUGGACUAAUACAGGGACACUCAGAGACUUCACUGAUAAUUGUGAGAGAGAAACAAAUGAUAAGGAAAAGUUGUCACGCAGUGUUCCAUUUUCCAGACUUCAGUAAAGAGUUGGAUGCAGGGUCAGAUGGGAUAUUUUUAGCUGUGCUGGGAGCACAAGGGUAGCAAAGUGGGCAAGGGAUUGAGCAAGGAGGAGCUGGAGAGAAGAUCAUUGGUAGAGGCCCUUAUAAAACCGCCUUGGGAUGACCAUUACUUGAUAUUUUCUUUAGUGACCCCAUUAGGAAAAGGAAGGAUUGUGCUUAUAACCUGAAAAUAAAAAGAACAAUGUCACAGUGGAAGAAAUACGGUGUUACCGACUUUGACAGCUGGGUGCUUGUAAUCAAACUUUCUCACUUCAAGCAGAAGCUCAUUGGUGUGGCACCCAGGAGGGACAAGACCUCUCUCAGAGGUGUUUUUGUGCCAUGGGUGUGACUUACCUCCUGAAAAGGCCAAUGUCAAGCAGGGGUUAUCAGAAGUACCAAUGAAUAGAGACAGGGAAGCAUUUAAUGCCACUGAACACUGCACAGGCAAGACCUUGUUGGAAUUCUCCAGACAGUCCUCCAGAUGAAGAAAAAAAAAUGCAUUCAAGCGUGGAGAAGAGUUUCUAGGAUGGUAAGAGGGACAGAAAGCCUAUUUUAUGAGAGGAGUCUCUACAAACUCAACUUGCUCAGCCUAAGGAAACAAAGGCUGGGAGGAGAUAUGAGCACUCUAAAAUGCACUGGGGAAGGAGGCAGCGCAUUGCAGCAACAAAAGAGCCAGCAGACAAGAAUGAAGAGCACAACUGAUCCAUGCUGGACAUGUGGGCUGGAAACUAGACAUCUGUUUCUAACCUUCAGAGGAACAAGGAACAGAAACAGCUUUGCAGUGGGAGGAGCAAAGGCACUCAAUGUAAAGAUGGACUUUGAUCACUUACAGAAGGAGUCAGCGGAGCAGCUCACAUAGUCCCUCCUGCCCCUGUGAUCCCACUGAGGUCAGAUCCCACUGCUGUCACUAGAGUCCUGAUUCUCCUUCCUCACCCACCCACACCAAAUAAUCUCAUCUGACUCAUUCCCAGCCAACAGAUUUCAAUAGAUGUUCUCUCAAGGGAAGGGGAGAGGUACAGGGAGAAGAAAACUCUUCAUCCAGCUCUUGUGCCUAGAAAUGGAUUUCUCAAACACCCAGGGAUUUCCGAUUUGCUUCUAAAUUUGGUAGUGUUUCAUGGUUUCUUUGGAAAAAAGUUUUAGAACUGAAUUAGCAAGUGAUCAAAUGCCGACUAUCAGGAACUUCAAACAGCGAGCCAAAACCUUUCUAUCAGAAACAGCCCGCCGAAGAGCAACGUAGGAGAAAAAGGAUCUGAAAGAUGAGGAGCAAUAUGCAAGCAACAGCCAGUGCCAAGAAUCUCCAGGGUCUGUAAACCCUUAAAAUGCCAGACAGACUGGAGUAAAAAACAGCCCGAAAGGUAGAGAGGCAUAAAACACUCUGCGUGCAACAGCGUUGAAUAUAAAACUGGCUGAGUAGAAAAGAAAGCCAACAAAAACUAGAGGCUCUAGCUAAGCAUCCUGCACGCUGUACUCUGCAGAUAGCAAAGGCUGUGCCAUUUAAAUCUGUAAUCCCUUCCCAAGCAAAGAGGCUUUUGCAACAGCGCAAUCUGGAUGUCACCAGCAUAUGAAUAGGCAUCUUGGGACUGCUCUGGAGAGCAGAGGUCAAAGUUUAGUGAUGUAUGUACUUGUCUCCCUAAUGGGUCUUAUUGAUUAUUAUCCAUAGAAACAAGCAAUGUCUCCAAAUCUGCCUCCCCCUUUGGGUUAGAUGCUGGCAACCAGGAAAAAGCACCUUGAUCUUCUAGGUCCAUGCUGUUUGUAGAGUGUUGAAGCCUGCGAUGAGGAAAGACACAAAGCUGCUGAACAGACUAGUGAAACACAGCAAGUAGAAGAUGGUCAGUAGAUCUGUGUAACAUCUGCAUAGCAAUGAUACAUGGGAGCACAGUGUCAAAAAAUAACACCUAAUAAAAUAUUAAAAAAAAAUAGGGUAACGUGAAGGGGGGGAGGAGAAAAUCAACAUUGCAAUUCAAUCACCUAAGUGAAUUAUGUGUUGUGGAAGGGGCUGAAAAGCCCCAGCACAGAUAAAGCCAAAUCCACACUUGUCCAACCACAGGUAUUCCAGACAAGUAUCUUAAAUAUUGCAGUGAAAUUGUUCUAUCUGUGGUACAAAAUGGUGGUAACCAGCUGGUAUCUUCACAGCACGAACACAGUUUUGUUGUGGCAACUUCAACAGCAGAGGAAAAUAUUUAAAAAAGCACCAGAAGCACAGGACCAAAAGUACCAAUGCUGGUUUGUCCUAUCACAGUGAGCACUGCUGUGGCAGCCAGCCAGCACGGUGGUGUCAGCAAAGCCAGCUCAGGUAGGGCACUGGGAACACCCUCGGGUGGAGACUAAGCUGAUAAAUAAGCAAGAGUAAGAGCAAUUAUCAGACCUCCUCAAACUUCCCGAGUUUGCAAGGUAGAGCCAGAGAAAGCAGACUCACUCUGGAGACUUUGGUACUCCCACUUUUGGCUGCUUUUUGAAACUGGGGAAAAAAACCCAACCCUCAGCCCUGUCUACAAUAUUUCAGAAUCUCAGAAGACAUCCCUUUUGGAUUUAGGUCUAGAAACAGGCUCAGGCAGCAGGGAGGUCCUGUCUCUCUCUGGAGAUGUGUGUCUCUCUCCAUAUGUAGACACAAGGCCACUAAGGCUGGUCCCACUGACGAGCUGUCUGAGGUCUGUCUGUCUGCUCUGCCCAUCCUCAUCCUCACCCACCCCACAGCUUGCAGGCUGAAAAGGGGCAGAGGAGGUUGGCAGCAACACUGGGCUCCCCUGGGCAGCAACAGCCCCUUCCCCCUGGUGCCAAAUGCCAUUUUCUGGGCUGUUCCUCGCACACCCACCCUGGCACCCUGGCCUCCCCACAAGAGCUCUGUGCACACAUUCCUUCGGCCUCGUAGAGGGUUCUCCCUGCAGGGCAGGGAUGAAGAAAGCCUUGCUGUCCAAUAGAGGGCCAUGUAGGUGACUUCUGCUCCUGGCUCUGUGGGAUGUGCAGCUUGCUUGCACAGGUUUAUAUAAACCCAGUUAUCUACUUGCACAUCCUCACGUUAAAAAAGAUGGGUCUGCACACCUGAAGAAGAAGAAAAGCUUGUGAGUAUAAAGCAUUGACUGUGUCAUCGAUAUUGAGGCCACAGCACAAACCAGAUCAGCACUGACUGCGUUUACUCCAGUGGAACUGUAACAACAUGAUCCCAGCCCCUGCCAGGAAUGUUGUUGUUCAAUACACAUCUAAGUCACAGAGCAGCAACAAGCCUGCUGCACACUCAAUUUUCUUCCAGGUACAGCAAAUCUGGCUCGCUCUGGGGGACGUGAAGGGACCAGCUCCAGGCAGCCAGAGAUGCUGUGCUCUGUGCAGCUGGCUUAGGAUCACUGGCAUCUCGUGGGAGAGCAGCUACUCAAGACUCACCAAAACAACAACAACAACAGAAAAGCCUCUUUUCUCGUAGAGUACAGCCGAAUUCCCUUCCUCUCAUUCCCUUAACAGAUGUCAGAAAAAAGCAUGAAUGGCUGCAGCUCUGUGCUCGACUCGCAGCUUUCACACUUGCUGCAGAGCUGGCCUUCUGCUUCUGAACCCGGUUCUGGAAGGUGUUGCUUUUUCAAAAGAAAAAUUGAGAAAAAGGAAAAAAAAACCUUAAACACUUAAUAGUAAACUCCUUCAAAAGAAAACUUGCUUCAAGCCAAAAAACAUUUGCCAAAUUUCAACUAAACGUGAAUUUUCUAACUAAAUGACACUGUAAUAAACACCUCAAUAUGGGGGUUUCAAAAUGAGAAUGCCAAGACAACUUUGCUUCAAGCAGUUAAAAAAGAAAAAAAUAUAUAUAAAAUAUAUAACUUUUUUUUUUUUUAAGAAAAAUCAAACUACCCCACGGAGACAUUUUAUGGUGCUUCAGUUAUAUAUACAUAUUAAAUAAAACAAACAAAAAACCCCCCAAGCAAAUCAAAUACAGAGAAAUACAGGAGGAUGUAGGCAGGAGCAGGACUCUCCCCAGAACCAGAUCAUAGGUCUGGAUGCUAUUGCAGCAGAUUAACCUGGGACCUCUACAGGAAGGAAGCAUUUCCAGGUGAGAGAAGGGGUCUACAUCAGAAAUGCUUUUGCAGAACCUACCCGGCCAUUUUACCUCAUCUAGACUCCAACGAGGGUUCCCAGGGACUCUGAAUCCAAGUCCAGUGCCUCCUUCCCUGUGUGCUGCACCAAGUGGUGCCUGGUGCGGCUGUAGGUGUGAGGGGCUCCAGCAAGGCUCUCCAGCAGCAAAUAGUGAUGGUGUGAGCCACUAAACAUUCCUGGGACAGGAAGAGCCUAAAUUCCUGACUGCUCAGAUGUUGAAUGGCUUUUCCUGUGCUUUGGUGCACAAGGUGAGAUCUCGAGACAGCAGAGCUCUGGGUGCGAAGCGUGAGCACAUCGAUCUCUUCUCAGGGCCAAGUCCGGCUGCCUGGUCUGCAGACAGCUGCUGAUUUGUUUUGGAAUGUACAAAGAUGCCCUUAAAUCCAAUUUAGGCAUUAAGGGGAAAAUAAACCCAUGAGUGCCGUAUGGUGGCUCUGCAGCCCCAAAGGCACCUACAGCUCCUGAGGGGACAGAGGUGCUGCCAUGACUGGUCCAAAACUACUGUGGUGGUGCUGCAAACCACAGCAUCCUUGCAGAGAUGAGCAGUGGGACCCUGCUGCCAGGGGAACCACAGGCCUUAGGCUGGUUUUAAUUCUGGCCAGCUCCCUCGUGCUGUCACACAUAGGACAGCUUGGGAAAGCUGCAGCAAGAGAACAACCUGUGUUUCUGCAGGGAAGGACUGCAGCCAUGAGUUAGCUAGACUUGUCCAAAUAAAGGGGGGAAAAAGCUACUUAUGUUGUUUCCCCAGCCUCAGAGCAAUAUGCUUUCCUAGGAUCAAUUCAUAACAGGUUGUUGUGUUCAGAGCUAAAAUUAAUCUUACAUCAGGAGAACGAAUUAAAACAAUGAAGAGCUUCCUGCAUCCAUUGCUAAAAAAAUUAAUCGUCUAAGAGCUUCCUUUUCUACUUUCCAACUGGCCACCUUGCUUUCAUUCAAGGAAAGCCUGAGUAAAAAAAUGAAAAACCGUUUCCAGGUGGUUUUGGUUAAAGCAAACAAAGAGCUUGAAUUGUGUCAGAGCCUGGUUUCAGGCAGAAGGUGUAGGGUUAGCCAGAAAGAGUGAACCACCACUGCUUAGAUACAGCCACUGGCCUAAUUAGGUGGAAUAGCUAUUAGUGAUUCCACCUAAUUAGAUAAUUAGAUUAAUUAUCUAAUUAACUGAGAUUGUUGUUAGACAAAGGCAGGUAGAGCUUCAGAGGUGAUAAGGAAGACAUCAGGGCAAGGUUACUCUGAUUUAUAUUGAUUUUUUUAACAGUUCAAGAACUCCCCUGGUUCCCACAUUUAUUUACCCAAGUCUCGCUCCUCUGGGGUUGUUUUAAAGUGAUUAAAGCAAGGAAGGGGGGCUGUUCUUUUACAAACAGAGAGAGAGGGAAAAAAAGGAAAUUUCACUGCAAGGAUUCAGUGGAGGGAAGAAACCAGACCGGGCAGGGGAAUGCGUUGUGGAUGAGAACUGCCUCUGCCCCCCCCUCCACUUCUUGUGCUUGGAUUUUGCAGCGCAUUCUCCCCGCAGACCUUUUUGGCUACACAGCAUGUUUGUCUUUGGGGAGAGAGACAACAUGUGAGCUAAUGAUGCACCAACACCGAGCGGGAGCUGUGGUGCUGGCAGAUUUUUCUCCAUCUCUUGCUCUUUGCUGGCAGUGCUGGUGGGAACCACAAGCCAAUUAAGGAGGCCUCGUUGCGGUAGACGUGGCGUAAAAGUAGCAUUAGAGCAUCCUGCCCCAGAGACCCGUCAGCCCUGAAUACCCGAGGGCGAGCGCAAGGCAGGUUUGCAAGUUUAAUAAGCCAAGUCCUCCUCGCUCAGGCGUGAAGAUAAUAUUAUGCCAGGCAGGCCCCGGGUGGAGGAGGCAGAGCUGGAGCCUGUAGCUUCCACGAUUUCAGCCACCUGCUUUGAAUUGCAGCGCGACGGAGUCAGGCCCACAGCUGAGCCCAAGUUUUAGGAGGCACAGGAGGGCACGCAACCAAGUCGACCCUGUCCUUCCCGUCCUACAGCUAUUGUUAGAUGCAUCAAGGCAUUUGACCCACUUUGGGAGUUUCUGGUGGUUUUUCACAUUCCAUUUGUCCUUUCUGACUAACAUUUUGCACUCGUGUGUCACAGCCCUGGCUCUGCUCCCUGUGGUGGAUGCUCAGAUUGCUGGAAAAAGAUCCAGCUGCUAUAUCCCACUGUGUUUAGAGUUUCUGAGCUCUGAGUGGAUCCAAGACACCACCCACACUGGGUUUUGAGGCAUCCUCUCCACAUGCCAGCUCCACCUAGCAUCCUCCUUUCUCACCAAGCUUACGUCCUCCAGCUGCCUAUUUGAAUUCAGACCUUAAAGACUUUGCACACUUCCUCACACCAAAAAACACAAGCUUUGCAGACUAGGACAGAAUUUUUGCAGAGGCCAAUAACAAGUGCAACCCCAGGUGGGCUUUUCUCUGAGUUUUGGAGCUUGGCUGGUCUCUGCUCACACUGCAGAACACAACAGCAUUUAGUGAUCUGGUGAGUAGUGUGUCCUCAGCACAGGGCCAGCUCUUGGGCUCACCUCCCUGUAGGAAUCCUCACAAAUCAGCCAGAUGGCAGAAGGAAAUGGUUUACACACCUUGUCAAGAGCUCAGAGCUGACUUACAGUUUAUCUUCUCUAGCUUUGGUUGAUCCCACAGCUAAACCAGCCCCUUCCCACUGUAAAUGCCUCACCAUCUCUUCCUCUGUCUUCUGCACACCUCUGAGGUUUCUCUUUCAUACACCCUCAAAUCGCUUGACUUCUUCAUUCAGCCUUAAUACCUGUGUAUAAUAAUAGCUUAAUAACUUUAUAAUAGCUUCAGCCUGUCUCCUGAGAGGUACAGAAAUAAACCUGUCUUCCCUAGUUGCACAGACUACGUUAAGAGAUCCAUUACUGGUCACAUCACAAUCAUUAGAAUUCUCAGCUCCCAUUGCCCCUGCUCCAGUGUGUGUGCCUUGGCAUCCUUUUCAGCAAGAUGCUCCACCCAGGCCACAGCAGCAUCCCCUGGAAGAGCUGCAGAGUAUAAAUGUCAUGCCAAUGCCUUGGGUACUGCAUGAGGCUGGGCAGCCUGUGCCCUGCCAGGUGUGGAAUGUCAGGCUCCCACUCUCCCUUCCUGCACCCUGAAAGCCCCAGAGGACACAGCCACCGUCUCAGGCAGAACUUGCUCUUUCCUAACAAAACACUCAGGUCUCCACGGGAGCUAAAGGGUUCCAAGUACAGACCAGCCACUUGCUGGGAGCCGCCGGCCAUCUGGAAUUACAAGACUGAAGUGAACUGCAAGGGACCACAGUGAACAUGUGCAUGAAACUAUCUGAGGCUGCAAAACAAAGGCACUUGCUGGAAAUUAUUAAAACAGCACAAAAACAUGGAACUCGCCCAAAAUGGAAGGUACAUUGGAAUGGAUAAGAAAUAUCAUAUUGCAAUUAAUGCUGUAUAGGACAUGACAGCAAGACAGAGCCUACUUAUGAAAAAACAUUCCAAUACCAGAGCAAACCCUGUGGCCAAGCCUGGACACUAUGAUGGGGGACAUCCAUCCCGGGUGACAGGAUGCAGCAGCAGCCCCGACAGGACGAGAUAAAGCAGUAGCCUGCAAAUAAACUGAAAUCAGUCACUCAA